rnacentral:rRNA from 1 species
UACGUAGAAGACGAGCGUUGUCCGGAGUUACUGGGCGUAAAGGGUGCGCAGGCGGCCCGCCGCGUGUGGGGUAAAAUCUCCCGGCUCAACUGGGAGGGUGGUCGCGAGACGGCUGGGCUUGAGGCUCGGUGAGGGGCGUGGAAUUCCGGGUGGAGCGGUGAAAUGCGUAGAGAUCCGGAGGAACACCGACGGCGUAGGCAGCGCCCUAGACGAGACCUGACGCUCAGGCACGAAAGCGCGGGGAGCGAACAGG